rnacentral:rRNA from 1 species
CACGUAGGGGACGAGCGUUGUCCGGAUUCAUUGGGCGUAAAGCGCGCGUAGGCGGCUCGGAAAGUCGGUCGUGAAAUGCCGGGGCUCAACCCCGGGACUGCGUCCGAUACUUCCGGGCUGGAGGUAGGUAGGGGAGAUCGGAAUUCCUGGUGUAGCGGUGAAAUGCGCAGAUAUCAGGAGGAACACCGGUGGCGAAGGCGGUGAUCUGGGCCGGCACUGACGCUGAGGAGCGAAAGCGUGGGUAGCAAACAGG